rnacentral:rRNA from 1 species
UACGUAGGGUGCAAGCGUUGUCCGGAAUUAUUGGGCGUAAAGAGCUCGUAGGCGGUUUGUCGCGUCGAAAUGUGAAAACCCGGGGCUCAACCCCGGGCCUGCAUUCGAUACGGGCAGACUAGAGUUCGGUAGGGGAGUCUGGAAUUCCUGGUGUAGCGGUGAAAUGCGCAGAUAUCAGGAGGAACACCGGUGGCGAAGGCGGGUCUCUGGGCAGUAACUGACGCUGAGGAGCGAAAGCGUGGGGAGCGAACAGG